UACGGAGGGCGCAAGCGUUGUUCGGAAUCAUUGGGCGUAAAGCGCGUGUAGGCGGCCUGGCAAGUCGGGUGUGAAAGCCCGGGGCUCAACCCCGGAACUGCAUUCGAUACUGCCUCGCUAGAGUCCCGGAGAGGAAGGCGGAAUUCCCGGUGUAGAGGUGAAAUUCGUAGAUAUCGGGAGGAACACCAGCGGCGAAGGCGGCCUUCUGGACGGUGACUGACGCUGAGACGCGAAAGCGUGGGGAGCAAACACG
rnacentral:rRNA from 1 species